GUGGGGAAUCUUCCGCAAUGGACGAAAGUCUGACGGAGCAACGCCGCGUGAGUGAAGAAGGGUUUCGGCUCGUAAAGCUCUGUUGUCGGGGACGAAUGUGCAGUAUUUGAAUAAAGUACUGCAAUGACGGUACCUGACGAGGAAGCCACGGCUAACUACGUGCCAGCAGCCGCGGUAAUACGUAGGUGGCAAGCGUUGUCCGGAAUUAUUGGGCGUAAAGGGAGCGCAGGCGGGAAGGUAAGUCGGUCUUAAAAGUGCGGGGCUCAACCCCGUGAUGGGAUCGAAACUAUCUUUCUUGAGUGCAGGAGAGGAAAGUGGAAUUCCUAGUGUAGCGGUGAAAUGCGUAGAUAUUAGGAGGAACACCAGUGGCGAAGGCGACUUUCUGGACUGUAACUGACGCUGAGGCUCGAAAGCCAGGGGAGCGAACGGGAUUAGAUACCCGGGUAGUCC
rnacentral:rRNA from 1 species